AUUGAACGCUGGCGGCAUGCCUUACACAUGCAAGUCGAACGGCAGCACGGGGCAACCUGGUGGCGAGUGGCGAACGGGUGAGUAAUGCAUCGGAACGUACCUUUCAGUGGGGGAUAACGUAGCGAAAGUUACGCUAAUACCGCAUAUUCUGUGAGCAGGAAAGCAGGGGAUCGCAAGACCUUGCGCUGAUUGAGCGGCCGAUGUCAGAUUAGCUAGUUGGUGAGGUAAAGGCUCACCAAGGCGACGAUCUGUAGCGGGUCUGAGAGGAUGAUCCGCCACACUGGAACUGAGACACGGUCCAGACUCCUACGGGAGGCAGCAGUGGGGAAGUUUGGACAAUGGGGGCAACCCUGAUCCAGCCAUGCUGCGUGAGUGAAGAAGGCCUUCGGGUUGUAAAGCUCUUUCGGCCGGGAAGAAAUCGCACGGGCUAAUACCCUGUGUGGAUGACGGUACCGGAAUAAGAAGCACCGGCUAACUACGUGCCAGCCGCCGCAGUAACAC
rnacentral:rRNA from 1 species